GAAGAGCCCGACGUGGCUCCCGGACGAGGUGUGCCGUACCCGGUGUGCGACAAGACGGCGCCUG
rnacentral:ncRNA from 1 species